rnacentral:rRNA from 1 species
GAUGAACACUAGCGGCAGGCCUAACACAUGCAAGUCGAGGGGUAACUAGAGUGAUAGCAAUAUUACUUUGGCUAGACCGGCGCACGGGUGCGUAACACGUAUGCAACCUACCUUAUACUGGGGAAUAACUUCGAGAAAUCGGCGCUAAUACCCAAUAACAUUGCGAAGAGGCAUCUCUUUGCAAUUAAAGCUCCGGCGGCAUAAGAUGGGCAUGCGUCCAAUUAGCUAGGUGGUGAGGUAACGGCUCACCAAGGCUACGAUUGGUAGGGGUCCUGAGAGGAUGAUCCCCCACACUGGUACUGAGACACGGACCAGACUCCUACGGGAGGCAGCAGUGAGGAGUAUUGCGCAAUGGACGAAAGUCUGACGCAGCCAUGCCGCGUGCAGGAUGACGGCCCUAUGGGUUGUAAACCGCUUUUGUACGGGAAUAAACCCUUCUACGUGUAGGAGGCUGAAGGUACCGUAAGAAUAAGCACCGGCUAACUCCGUGCCAGCCGCCGCCGUAACAC